rnacentral:rRNA from 1 species
UACGUAGGGUGCAAGCGUUGUCCGGAAUUAUUGGGCGUAAAGAGCUCGUAGGCGGUUUGUCGCGUCUGCUGUGAAAACUCGGGGCUUAACCCCGGGCCUGCAGUGGGUACGGGCAGACUAGAGUGCGGUAGGGGAGACUGGAAUUCCUGGUGUAGCGGUGAAAUGCGCAGAUAUCAGGAGGAACACCGGUGGCGAAGGCGGGUCUCUGGGCCGUAACUGACGCUGAGGAGCGAAAGCGCGGGGAGCAAACAGG